rnacentral:lncRNA from 1 species
GAAUCUUCAGAAAGAACUGCUACUCGCAGUUCCCUGGUAUAGUGAUUGCCUGGACUCCCAGUGCAUGGCCUAGGCCAGGAAGCCUAUAGGAACUGCCAGGAACUCACCAUGACAGAGAAGCCCUGCAGGAAAAGAUUUGUCCUCUGGCUGCCGAGCAAGAGCCUGUGGGCUUCGGGCUGUGUUCUGU